CGCUCUUCCGAUCUCUUCGAGCUCAAUUAGUAACUUGUAGAGAAAAUAGUGCUUCGUCAAAUGUGACAAAUAACUCACUCCUAUUCCUCAACAGAAAAUUUAAAUAAAAUUGUUUGUAAGCACGAGCCAGAUUUUUUCUGGAACUAUUUGAAAUGACUAUCUCAGCUUCUGGGGGCUGUGGGGC